CACUCCUGCGGGAGGCAGCAGUGGGGAAUAUUGCACAAUGGGCGCAAGCCUGAUGCAGCCAUGCCGCGUGUGUGAAGAAGGCCUUCGGGUUGUAAAGCACUUUCAGCGGGGAGGAAGGCAAUGCGGUUAAUAACCGUGUUGAUUGACGUUACCCGCAGAAGAAGCACCGGCUAACUCCGUGCCAGCAGCCGCGGUAAUACGGAGGGUGCAAGCGUUAAUCGGAAUUACUGGGCGUAAAGCGCACGCAGGCGGUCUGUCAAGUCGGAUGUGAAAUCCCCGGGCUCAACCUGGGAACUGCAUUCGAAACUGGCAGGCUUGAGUCUUGUAGAGGGGGGUAGAAUUCCAGGUGUAGCGGUGAAAUGCGUAGAGAUCUGGAGGAAUACCGGUGGCGAAGGCGGCCCCCUGGACAAAGACUGACGCUCAGGUGCGAAAGCGUGGGGAGCAAACAGGAUUAGAAACCCUUGUAGUCCCAUGAU
rnacentral:rRNA from 1 species